rnacentral:rRNA from 1 species
CUUGGCGACCAUAGCGUUUUGGACCCACCUGAACCCAUUCCGAACUCAGAAGUGAAACGAAAUAGCGUCGAUGGUAGUG